rnacentral:rRNA from 1 species
UACGAAGGGGGCUAGCGUUGUUCGGAAUUACUGGGCGUAAAGCGUUUGUAGGCGGUUGACCAAGUCAGUGGUGAAAGCCCAGGGCUUAACCCUGGAAUUGCCAUUGAAACUGUUCAGCUAGAGAGUGUUAGAGGAAAGUGGAAUUCCUAGUGUAGGAGUGAAAUCCGUAGAGAUUAGGAGGAAUAUCGAUGGCGAAGGCAGCUUUCUGGGACAUUUCUGACGCUGAGAAACGAAAGCGUGGGUAGCAAACAGG